rnacentral:rRNA from 1 species
GACGAACGCUGGCGGCGUGCUUAACACAUGCAAGUCGAGCGAUGAAGUUCCUUCGGGAAUGGAUUAGCGGCGGACGGGUGAGUAACACGUGGGUAACCUGCCUCAUAGAGGGGAAUAGCCUUCCGAAAGGAAGAUUAAUACCGCAUAAGAUUGUAGUGCCGCAUGGUACAGCAAUUAAAGGAGUAAUCCGCUAUGAGAUGGACCCGCGUCGCAUUAGCUAGUUGGUGAGGUAACGGCUCACCAAGGCGACGAUGCGUAGCCGACCUGAGAGGGUGAUAGGCCACAUUGGGACUGAGACACGGCCCAGACUCCUACGGGAGGCAGCAGUGGGGAAUAUUGCACAAUGGGGGAAACCUUGAUGCAGCAACGCCGCGUGAGUGAUGACGGUCUUCGGAUUGUAAAGCUCUGUCUUCAGGGACGAUAAUGACGGUACCUGAGGAGGAAGCCACGGCUAACUACGUGCCAGCCGCCGCGGUAAGAC